AAUAGAUACCCUGGUAGUCCACGCCGUAAACGUUGGGCACUAGGUGUGGGGUCUAUUCAACGGACUCCGUGCCGUAGCUAACGCAUUAAGUGCCCCGCCUGGGGGAGUACGGCCGCAAGGCUAAAACUCAAAGGAAUUGACGGGGGGCCCGCACAAGCAGCGGAGCAUGUUGCUUAAUUCGAGGCAACGCGAAGAACCUUACCUGGGCUUGACAUGUAGAGAAAAGCCACAGAGAUGUGGUGUCCUUCGGGGUUCUACACAGGUGGUGCAUGGUUGUCGUCAGCUCGUGUCGUGAGAUGUUGGGUUAAGUCCCGCAACGAGCGCAACCCUUGUCCUAUGUUGCCAGCACGUUGUGGUGGGGACUCGUAGGAGACUGCCGGGGUCAACUCGGAGGAAGGUGGGGACGACGUCAAAUCAUCAUGCCCCUUAUGUCCAGGGCUGCAAACAUGCUACAAUGGCCGGUACAAAGGGCUGCGAAACCGUGAGGUGGAGCGAAUCCCAUAAAGCCGGUCUCAGUUCGGAUUGGAGUCUGCAACUCGACU
rnacentral:rRNA from 1 species